rnacentral:rRNA from 1 species
GACGAACGCUGGCGGCGUGCUUAACACAUGCAAGUCGAGCGGUAAGGCCCUUUCGGGGGUACACGAGCGGCGAACGGGUGAGUAACACGUGGGUGACCUGCCCUCAGCUCUGGGAUAAGCCUGGGAAACCGGGUCUAAUACUGGAUAUGACUCCAUGACGCAUGUUGUGGGGUGGAAAGCCUUGUGCGGCUGAGGAUGGGCCCGCGGCCUAUCAGCUUGUUGGCGGGGUGAUGGCCUACCAAGGCGACGACGGGUAGCCGGCCUGAGAGGGCGACCGGCCACACUGGGACUGAGACACGGCCCAGACUCCUACGGGAGGCAGCAGUGGGGAAUAUUGGACAAUGGGCGCAAGCCUGAUCCAGCCAUGCCGCGUGAGUGAAGAAGGCCUUAGGG